UCUCCGUUGGUGAACCAGCGGAGGAAUCAUUACCGAGUUUACAACUCCCAAACCCAAUGUGAACGUUACCAAACUGUUGCCUCGGCGGGGUCACGCCCCGGGUGCGUCGCAGCCCCGGAACCAGGCGCCCGCCGGAGGAACCAACCAAACUCUUUCUGUAGUCCCCUCGCGGACGUUAUUUCUUACAGCUCUGAGCAAAAAUUCAAAAUGAAUCAAAACUUUCAACAACGGAUCUCUUGGUUCUG
rnacentral:misc_RNA from 1 species